GGAUCUCUCUGGAGAUCCAUGCCUACCUGAGGCCUUUGAAGAAACUUCUGGGAAAACUAAAAAACUGGGAGAAACUGGACCAGAGCACUGGCUUGAAUAUCAGGACGCCUGAUGAUCUCUCAAGGCAAAUUGUGGCCCUGCAGCAAAGGGAGCUUGUGCUGAAAGAGCAGAACUCUACCAUCACAAACAGGGUUGUGAUUGACUGUUGGUGUUCAUGCUAGCAUCCCUGUUGUUUGUGCAUCUUUCUAUUACUAGAAUAAGCUUUUAUUUGUUAGUGCUCCUCUGGAGAUGCUGAUUAAACAUUCCCUCAGGUGUCCAGGUAGCAAUUCAUGUUAUUGACCAGAAAAAUGUCUAAAAUAAACAGUUAAUGCAAUAGGUAAACAUGAAUUCUGUAGAUCUUGCUAACUGCUGUGAAGUAGGGUCUGUUCAAAUACUCUCAGACAUAACAGUGUUUUGUCGGAGUCUCUUCUUGGCUGGGAUAUCUCAGUGGUUGAUUGUAUCUGCAUGUGAAAUCUGUUCAGCCCUGUGGCUGAUUGCUUGUUUAACAAUUUCACGUCCGGAUCAUGUCAGCACCACUGCGUGUUGUCUUCAGACUGCUAUUAUGAAGAUCUUUACUGUGUGUUUUCUUUUUAAUUGCUGUGUUUGUCCUUAGGCACGUGAGGACUGUGGUGCUGCGUGGUGAGGGGGGAGGUGCUGUACUGACUCUGGGGGAGGUGGGUUCCAGUUACAAAUACUUUUCCUAAUAUCAAAGCUUUAUCACUUGUACAAGAGACCUGCUGUUGGAUAUGUUCAAUCAACACAAAUGAACCGCCUUGUCUUUUUUAGCUGCGGAAGGCAAAAAGAAAAACCCCAAACUUGUCAUAAAUCAGUCAGUCCCCCUCCCCACCCAAAAGCAGCUUUCUUUUGCUGCUCUGAAAGUUAAAUGACUAAUGUGCAUAAUUUAUUUGAGCAUCUGUGCUAAAAACUUGCAUACCAAGUUUGAGUUCAAUGUGAUCAACAAUGGCGAAAAUUAGGAUUUAUCAUGGAAAUGCUGACGGAUGUGAACAUGUGUAGGCUAAACCGGUGCCUGACAAACCUUCUUAUUGUGUGAUGCUAAUGGUGAAACGCGGGGUGGUUUUUUUUUUUCCUGCUGUAAUUGCAUUCCCCCCCCUCCGUCUGCUUAAUUUUCCCCUUUUCAAAUGUGGUGAGUUGAGCUGCGCUUCGUAUUUGGGUUCCUAUUUUUUUUUUUUCUGAGCGGUGCAGCAGUACUGAGUGUGGAACAGAAGGUGGUGCCGGCAGCAUUGCGCUGCUCGCUGCCUCCCCUCCGCCUGCGCAGCCGGGCUGCUGUCACCAGCCUUAUAAAUUCUGGAGCCAAUUAGACUAAAAAAAAAAAAAAUGUUGUGAGUGGAAAGGGAGGAAAGAAAAAGCUGCAGCAUGGCUCGAUGUGAAUGCGACUGCCUCAAAAGCUCUUCCCCAGAGAGCUCAGAUGGGGCCUCGCACCGCAGCUCGGGUUGUUGGGCUGCUUCAGGAGGGAGUAGUUGGUUUGGAGGAUUGAGCACGAGGAAAAGAAGUGAGGCUUCCUAGGAAGCUGUGCUGAUGGCAGAAAGCCUGCUGCUAGGUGGUACAGGGGUCCCUGAGGGCUGCUUGGGCUGGGCAGGGCACCAUUGGUUUCUCCAUCUUUCUCCAGGGGCCUCCUGUUGAAGCCAAUUUCUUUAUUUUCCUUUGUGAUUCCAAACGUCAGACUGGUUGUUUAGUUCUUACGUGGGCAGCAUAGAGGCAAAAAAUCUCAGUGGCAGUGGGACAGCAGUGCUGCGCUGAAGAAAUGGUCAGUUUCUCAGUGCA